UACGGGGGGAGCAAGCGUUGUUCGGAUUUACUGGGCGUAAAGGGCGCGUAGGCGGUAGCACAAGUCAGUUGUGAAAUCUCCGGGCUUAACUCGGAAAGGUCAACUGAUACUGUGCGACUAGAGUGCAGAAGGGGCAACUGGAAUUCUCGGUGUAGCGGUGAGAUGCGUAGAUAUCGAGAGGAACACCUGCGGCGAAGGCGGGUUGCUGGGCUGACACUGACGCUGAGGCGCGAAAGCCAGGGGAGCAAACGGG
rnacentral:rRNA from 1 species